UCAGGUAGGAGGACCCGCUGAACUUAAGCAUAUCAA
rnacentral:rRNA from 1 species